rnacentral:rRNA from 1 species
AUGGGAGCUUGCUCCCAGGCGUCGAGCGGCGGACGGGUGAGUAACACUUAGGAAUCUACCUAGUAGUGGGGGAUAGCUCGGGGAAACUCGAAUUAAUACCGCAUACGACCUACGGGAGAAAGGGGGCAGUUUACUGCUCUCGCUAUUAGAUGAGCCUAAGUCGGAUUAGCUAGAUGGUGGGGUAAAGGCCUACCAUGGCGACGAUCUGUAGCUGGUCUGAGAGGAUGAUCAGCCACACCGGGACUGAGACACGGCCCGGACUCCUACGGGAGGCAGCAGUGGGGAAUAUUGGACAAUGGGGGCAACCCUGAUCCAGCCAUGCCGCGUGUGUGAAGAAGGCCUUUUGGUUGUAAAGCACUUUAAGCAGUGAAGAAGACCUAAUGAUUAAUACCCAUUAGCGAUGACAUUAGCUGCAGAAUAAGCACCGGCUAACUCUGUGCCAGCAGCCGCGGUAAUACAGAGGGUGCAAGCGUUAAUCGGAAUUACUGGGCGUAAAGCGAGCGUAGGUGGCUUGAUAAGUCAGAUGUGAAAUCCCCGGGCUUAACCUGGGAACUGCAUCUGAUACUGUUAAGCUAGAGUAGGUGAGAGGGAAGUAGAAUUUCAGGUGUAGCGGUGAAAUGCGUAGAGAUCUGAAGGAAUACCGAUGGCGAAGGCAGCUUCCUGGCAUCAUACUGACACUGAGGCUCGAAAGCGUGGGUAGC